rnacentral:rRNA from 1 species
GAUGAACGCUAGCGGCAGGCCUAAUACAUGCAAGUCGAGGGGCAGCACAGGUAGCAAUACUGGGUGGCGACCGGCAAACGGGUGCGGAACACGUACGCAACCUUCCUUCAAGCGGGGAAUAGCCCAGAGAAAUUUGGAUUAAUACCCCAUAAGAAUGUGACCUGGCAUCAGGUAGCAUUUAAAGAUUAUCACUUGGAGAUGGGCGUGCGUCUGAUUAGCUAGUUGGUGGGGUAAAGGCCUACCAA